UUAAGUUCAGCGGGUAUUCCUACCUGAUCCGAGGUCAACUCUUGAAAGUUGGGCGUUUUACGGCGUGACCGUCUCCGCGCUCCGGUGCGAGGUUGUGCUACUACGCAGGGGAGGCUGCGGCGAGACCGCCACUGUAUUUCGGGGCCGGCCCCGUGAAGGGCCGAUCCCCAACGCCGACCCCCCGGAGGGGUUCGAGGGUU
rnacentral:misc_RNA from 1 species